AGUCGAGCGGAAAGGCCCUUCGGGGUACUCGAGCGGCGAACGGGUGAGUAACACGUGAGUAACCUGCCCUGGACUUUGGGAUAACCCUCGGAAACGGGGGCUAAUACCGAAUAUCCACGGUCUACCGCAUGGUGGGUUGUGGAAAGUUUUUCGGUCUGGGAUGGGCUCGCGGCCUAUCAGCUUGUUGGUGGGGUGAUGGCCUACCAAGGCGACGACGGGUAGCCGGCCUGAGAGGGCGACCGGCCACACUGGGACUGAGACACGGCCCAGACUCCUACGGGAGGCAGCAGUGGGGAAUAUUGCACAAUGGGCGGAAGCCUGAUGCAGCGACGCCGCGUGAGGGAUGACGGCCUUCGGGUUGUAAACCUCUUUCAGCAGGGACGAAGCGAGAGUGACGGUACCUGCAGAAGAAGCGCCGGCCAACUACGUGCCAGCAGCCGCGGUAAGACGUAGGGCGCGAGCGUUGUCCGGAUUUAUUGGGCGUAAAGAGCUCGUAGGCGGCUUGUCGCGUCGGCUGUGAAAUCCCGUGGCUCAACUGCGGGCUUGCAGCCGAUACGGGCAGGCUAGAGUUCGGUAGGGGAGACUGGAAUUCCUGGUGUAGCGGUGAAAUGCGCAGAUAUCAGGAGGAACACCGGUGGCGAAGGCGGGUCU
rnacentral:rRNA from 1 species